AUAUAAGAAAAAAAAAUUAUUUUAAUUUAUUAUAAUUUUUUCCAUUAUUUUUAAUUAAGCAGUCACAUGUAAUAUUCAUAAAAAAAUGCUUACUGAAAUCUGCUCAGAGUUAUUUCAAUUGUGAAGUACAAGUUAUUUAUAAAAAUUAACAAUCAACCAAUUGAUUGUAUAACUAUUUUCAAACUAAUUAAUCACUAUUUUCAAACUAAUUAAUCACAAUUUAUUAUGAUUUAAAUGGAGAGAAGCCCAUUCCAACCUUGUAGUACGAAUGGGAUCAGAAGCUUAC
rnacentral:misc_RNA from 1 species